ACCUGCCCUAUGAAUAAUUUACUUUUAAAUGGCUGCGGUACUCUGACCGUGCAAAGGUAGCAUAAUAAUUAGUUUCUUAAUUGGGAACUGGAAUGAAUGGUCGAACGAGAAAAAGACUGUCUCAAUUUAAUUUAAAUUAGAAUUUUAUUUUUGAGUAAAAAAGCUUAAAUGUACUUAAAAGACGAGAAGACCCUAUAGAGUUUUAUAUAAAUAAUUAUAAUUGAAAGUUAAAGUAUUAUAGAUUUGACUAUAAUUAUUUAUAUUUGGUUGGGGCGAUUAAAAAAUUAAACAAACUUUUUUUAAAUUAAACCAUUGAUUUAUGAGUAAAUGAUCCAUAUAUAAUUAUGAUUAAAAGA
rnacentral:rRNA from 1 species